rnacentral:rRNA from 2 species
UGCAUAACACAUGCAAGUCGAACGAUGAAACUUAGUAGACUUUUUCGGAAAGACACUAAGCGGAUUAGUGGCGAACGGGUGAGUAACGCGUGAGUAACCUGCCUUACACAAGGGGAUAGCCUUUGGAAACGAAGAAUAGUACCCUAUAAAACCAUAAAAGCACAUGCUAGAAUGGUCAAAGUGCUAGCGGUGUAAGAUGGACUUGCGUCUGAUUAGCUAGUUGGUGAGAUAAAAGCUCACCAAGGCAACGAUCAGUAGCCGGCUUGAGAGAGUGUACGGCCACAUUGGGACUGAGACACGGCCCAGACUCCUACGGGAGGCAGCAGUGGGGAAUUUUGCACAAUGGGGGAAACCCUGAUGCAGCGACGCCGCGUGAUUUAGAAGGCCUUCGGGUUGUAAAAAUCUUUUGUAUAGGAAGAAAAUGACAGUACUAUACGAAUAAGGUCCGGCUAAUUACGUGCCAGCAGCCGCGGUAAUACGUAAGGACCGAGCGUUGUCCGGAAUCAUUGGGCGUAAAGGGUACGUAGGCGGCUAGAAAGGUUAGAAGUCAAAGGCUAUAGCUCAACUAUAGUAAGCUUCUAAAACUAUUUAGCUUGAGAAAUGGAAGGGAAAGUGGAAUUCCUAGUGUAGCGGUGGAAUGCGCAGAUAUUAGGAAGAAUACCGGUGGCGAAGGCGACUUUCUGGCCAUUAUCUGACGCUGAGGUACGAAAGUGUGGGUAGCAAACAG